rnacentral:lncRNA from 1 species
GUCAACAGUUACUUUGCAAGUGUGGAAUAUCCAUAUACCUCUUGUGAGUUGUGACCAGUGUGAGCGGCCCCACCGCAAUAGGAUUGGUGGGUGAGCCGGGACCAGCAAAAAAGGAGUCUGGUGCCUUGUCGUGGCUGUGACGUUUCUUCUGACCGUCUGUUGCAUCGGUGCCCCCAACGUCCAGGAACUAAUCCCCGGUCCUAUGUGGUUUUGACCCUAAUUCACUGUGAGUGUGUGGAGUGCAGUGGGUGAGUCCUUUUCUUUGCUGUGUGUACACUUGAAGUCUGCAGUGCCGUGCUGUGUCAUGUUGUCAGUAAUCACCCUCUAGGCUGGGAGAGAAAACCCUGUGGAGAAGAAUGUGCACCGGUGUUGUGAGACGUCCGUCUUUUAUCUACAUGCCCGCUCGUGGCUUUGGACCCCUACUCCGCCGAGUGGUGACGUGUCAACAAUAGCAAGUAAGGAACAGUGUGCAUAUUGUGGGGGACGACGACUGAGAGAAGUGUUGGCUGCUAUAUGAACAUCCAGCUGUGUAGCCCUUGUGUAUGAAUACUGGUUUGUGGAGUGCUUUCAGAGGUUCGCCCCUGUCUAGAUCUCUGGUCCGUUGUCUGGAAGAUAGGAGAGGGAAGCGUUCAAGUCAUUCCUGAGUCCUACAGGUCUGAGCUUGAGGCUCUGAGUCAUCGUGGGAGUGUUUCCACGGUUGGAGGUGACCGUGUUGAGUGUUGGUCUGGGAAGUCUGCCCCGGUGAAGAAGACCACAGUUGCCAUGACAUAUACACCUUCUCUAGACUAGCUGAAAAGUGCUUAAGCCUGACGUCCACCUCUUCUAGGGUCUGUGAGUUGUAUCCAUUCAGUAUUGUCACUGUAUACCCACCUGCAUGCCCAGAGCAAACUCCAGUUCCCCUUUCCAUUCCCUUCACACCUUUUAGAUAAUUUAAAUAAAGUUUGUUUUAACUAUACCCACUCUCUCUCAU